GGAAAAGCAUCUAGAGAGAGAAGUAGUGCCCGUACCGCAAACCGACACAGGUAGAUGAGGAGAGAAUCCUAAGGCCGGCGGAAGAAUUGCAGUUAAGGAACUAGGCAAAUUGACCCCGUAAGUUAGCGAGAAGGGGUGCCUGCGAGAGCAGGCCGCAGAGAAUAGGCCCAAGCAACUGUUUAGCAAAAACACAGGUCUCUGCUAAAGCGCAAGCUGAUGUAUAGGGGCUGACGCCUGCCCGGUGCUGGAAGGUUAAGGGGAACACUUAGCGCAAGCGAAGGUGUGAACUUAAGCCCCAGUAAACGGCGGCCGUAACGAUAACGGUCCUAGGUAGCGAAAUUCCUUGUCAGGUAAGUUCUGACCCGCACGAAUGGCGUAAUGACUUGGGCACUGUCUCAACUGCAAAUCCGGUGAAGUUGUAGUGCGAGUGAAGAUGCUCGCUACCCGCGAUUGGACGGAAAGACCCCGUAGAGCUUUACUGUAGCUUAGCAUUGAAUUCCGGUAUUGUCUGUACAGGAUAGGUGGGAGACUGGGAAACUAGGGCGUCAGCCUUAGUGGAGUCGUCCUUGGGAUACCACCCUGACAGUACUGGGGUUCUAACAGGACGCCAUGAAUCUGGUGACUGGACAUUGUUAGGUGGGCAGUUUGACUGGGCGGUCGCCUCCUAAAAAGUAACGGAGGCGCCCAAAGGUUCCCUCAGAACGGUCGGAAAUCGUUCGUAGAGUGCAAAGGCAGAAGGGAGCCUGACUGCGAGACCUACAAGUCGAGCAGGGACGAAAGUCGGGCUUAGUGAUCCGGUGGUACCUCGUGGGAGGGCCAUCGCUCAACGGAUAAAAGCUACCUCGGGGAUAACAGGCUGAUCUCCCCCAAGAGUCCACAUCGACGGGGAGGUUUGGCACCUCGAUGUCGGCUCGUCGCAUCCUGGGGCUGUAGUAGGUCCCAAGGGUUGGGCUGUUCGCCCAUUAAAGCGGCACGCGAGCUGGGUUCAGAACGUCGUGAGACAGUUCGGUCCCUAUCCGUCGCGGGCGUAGGAAAUUUGAGAGGAGCUGUCCUUAGUACGAGAGGACCGGGAUGGACUGACCUCUGGUGCACCAGUUGUUCUGCCAAGAGCAUGGCUGGGUAGCUAAGUCGGGAAGGGAUAAACGCUGAAAGCAUCUAAGCGUGAAGCCUCCCUCAAGAUGAGAUUUCCCAUAGCAUAAGCUAGUAAGACCCCUUGAAGAACACGAGGUUGAUAGGUCAGAGGUGUAAGUGUGGUAACAUAUUUAGCUGACUGAUACUAAUAGGUCGAGGGCUUGAUC
rnacentral:rRNA from 1 species